CUGGUAGAAUUCCAGCGAUUUGUCCCCAAGCAGCGACACACCUGCAUUUCCCAGUAGUUUAGACAUUGAGUUGCAGAUGCUAAGAAACUCUGGAAGAACCUCAGGGACACAUAUGUCAGGAAGAAAAGGGAGGAGAAAGAGACAAAGAGUAGCCAGGCAGGGAAACAAAAGAAGAGGUGGAAAUACAUGGAUGCCAUGUCCUUGAGAUGUCAACAGCUUUCAGGAGGGUGUACAGCAAUCUAGAGCAUCCAGAGCAGGAGGAGAGUGAAGGAGAGACGACUGCAACUGCAACAGUCUACUGCACAAACAGCUGGUUGUGUCUUCUGAAACUUGCUGUCCUGUCCACAUAACGCUCGCACAGGGCAAAAAGUAUUC